UGCUCAGGAUUGGAUUUAUAUGACUGAUCAGUUUCCUCUGGUGUUAUCGAAAGCAGAUAUCAAAUGGCUGUGGAGGAAUGCAGGUGAUUGGAGUUGGUCCAAAGGGAAGUUGUGAGUUCUGGGAGGCAGAAGGGAAGCAGCUGCCAUGUUCCGAAGGUUAUCGGCACCUGUCAGUGAUAGAGACAGACACAGAGGUGUUAGCAGGUUCCUAUUUGUCCUUGCACCCCACUACUUCCUGAUGCUGAUCUAGUCCCAGGUCUUCUACCAGGCCUUCUACCAGAUGCUUUGCCGAGAACUCACAGAGGCCGUAGACCCGAAGAACCAACAACCUUCCGUAGGCUUUGAGGUCCCACUCCGGCAGCAGGAUGUCCUGGCUCCCAGGAAUCACUCUCUGUGGAAGUUUAAGUGACUCAUUGCAGAGAAUUGAUGAAGUCAGCAGCUGCUGGAAAAACUUCUUUUUCCUUAAUAGCUGUAUCAACAUGUGGUUGCUAUUAUUCGAAGUGGAUGAAAUAAUUCUGCAAGCCAGUGGGAACAGGAAGCUUCAUGAAGAGGAGAAAGGCUUAGGGCUCGGAAACCGCACAGAGCAGGAUAGAUGAGUGUAAGGAGCAGAGCUUUGAGGACAGACACCCCUGGAUUAGACAAUAGCCCCAAUACUUAUUAGUGAUGGUGAAUGUGUGACUUUCUAAAACUCUUUAAACUUUAUUUGUAAAAUGGAGACAUCAAUAUCUAUUUUGAAAUCUUGUAUAAAUUUGCAAUAAUGUCUGUAAAGUAUCUGACAGGAGCUCAGAAAUGACACAAUUCUUUAAAUCCACUCACACCCAAAUUUUAAACAAAAAGUAGCAGUAUAUCCUACACACGAUUUUUAAGUUUUACUAUUUAAGUUAGUAACAUGCUAUGAACAUAUUUCCAUGUCAUUAAAUAUUCUAUUCCAUCCAAUAUUUAAAAGCUAACAGAAGUCUUUUAAAUGCAUAUACCAUAAUUUAUUUAACUAAUUAGGUUGUUUUAAUAUUUAUGUUGUUUCCAAUGUAUUAUGCUCUUGACAAUAAAAUGAUGAUCAUUUAUGAUGAUGAA